UAGGCAAUAUAUGCAAGCAGGUUUAUGUUUUGACUUGUGUAGACAUAUAACAUUAACACGGUACGUAUUUAUAAGUAUACGAUACGUACACAAACCACACAUGUGACACGGACCAACAUGUAUGAAGAAACGGUCCCAUUGAGAGAGAUCUCAUGACUUCAAAUCAAGAACUAGUCCAAUUCCAAAAUGGACACGUAAAUAUGUACAAAGCUUAAUCCCCAUCCCUCUAUAAUGGGUCUACACACAGCCUAGCUUUUUUUUGUAUUUUGUGCACUGUUUUUUUUUUCUAUACUUUUAGUUUACUUUGAUAUUUACUUUGAAAUUUUUUUUUAUAUUCUCACAUUUCGAUUAAUGAGUCUAGUCGCUUCCUUUGAUUCCGUCACGGCUAAUCAAAUCAACAUUAGUUAAACAGGCGAGAAAAAAACAUAUGGGUAUGAAUGGUGAACAGGGAACGGCGAGGAAUAAUGCAUUCCCUAACGUUCAUAAAAAAAAAUCACCAUUAACAAGGAAUAAUAAUUCUUUCUCAUUCCCUUUCAUUACUUUUUUUGUAGAGAAUUAAAGAACAAAAUGUAUUCCUUGUUAAAAUUGAUAAGGAACAACCAUUCCUUUUCAUUUCUGCUAUUUUAUUCCCGAACAUUCAUUUUUUAUUUGUUCCUCUUGUUUCCCGAAUAGUCACCAGUCAGACCCUUCCAUAUGUUUACAAAAGUGUCAUUUUAAUUGACACCCUCACACAAACUAAUAAAAUAUUAUUUUAGUUAGUAAUUAAAUUCAUAUGUUAAUUAAAAUAUUUCGACAAUCCAGAUUUGAAAUUAUAUAUUUUUAUUAUAUUUAAAAAAAAUAUUUUAUUAAAAUUUUAAAAUAUAUUUUUGUGUAACAAGAAACAAAAUUUUCAAAAUGACAACCUUUAGAGAACAGAUGGAGUAUAAAUUAUUAAUGAAGUUCAUGAAACCUGGUGCCUGCCUAUUCAAGAUGCUGUCUCACAUUCCUAAAUAUUUCAGUAAAAUCCAUUAUAGUAUAUGAUCCCAUGUAAAUUAUUGGUGAGGCUGCUAAAUGCGAGCAAGCAACAUUACAAUUAUGGUGUCACAUCAAACUUGGUUACAGAAACUAUGGGCAUAAUAGAUAUAAUUCUGUCUUAAUGGGCUUGAGUUGAAUCCCAAAUAAACCCAUUAAAUACCACAUGAAUAAAGUUAAAUAAUGGGCUUUCUCAUGAGGUCAUCUUCUCCGGCGAAAAGGAGGAAGGAGAAGAUGACGAAACACACAAGAAUGAACGGAGAGCUUCCCUCUGCGAUUUCGUUCUGCUCCGUUCUCAUUUUUUUUUCUUGUCUUCAGUCAUCUUUCUCCUUGUGUUCUUCUACUUUUCAUCGAAUCCAACAAAGAUACGUUUUCUUCUUUCCGACUUGACUUUUAGUAGCUGAGAAGAUCUCAUUUUAGCUUGUUGGGUUGUUUUUGUAAUGAAAGGACUUGGAGAAACUCAAACUGGGUUCCGUGUUGGUGGUGUGACCAAUAUUGCUAAGAAGAAGAAUGUGUUCAGAGAGACCUUAAAGCUGCUUUUAAAGAAGUGAGUGAGUGGUGUCUUGAAGAUAGCACCAACUGUGUCUGGGAGUAAGAAGACUAAGGAUCAUGUCUGUAGUAGAGGGUUUUCUCUUGUUGAUUUCAAAGGCAAGAUUGAUGCAAACAUGUAGAUUAGCAUUUGUCCAAUCUUUCUCCCUUAGGUUGUAUGUAAGCUAAGCCAAAGAUCUUUUGUUUUCAAAGGUUUUUGGAGCAGUUCACUGGGAAGUGGUUAUAAUUUGGUAAGGUUAUAAAGCAAAUAAAAAUAUCAGAACUAGAAGCAGUUUCUAAUGUUGAAGAAGAUAUACUUUUGUUGAUUCAUGGGAUGAUUCAGACAAAGAAGUAGAUGAGACACAAGUGGUAGACUCUCCCAGUGAACCGAGCCGUGAUUCUAAUCCAAUGUAAGGUCUCCGAAACAAGCUGUGAAGCGAAAUAGAGAUUUCAUUCCAGGCUGCAGUAGAAACACGCGUGGAUGGGAAGAGGAACAUGAUAGGUCUGAUGUGGAAGAAGUUGCUGAAGAGAAUCUUGAAUCUGUGAACAGUUCAGUGUCAUACUCAGAUGAAACAAAUAUUUGGUCCUUAUCCUUCAGUUGUUGGACAGUGGAAGAAGUUUGGAGACAAUGCUCGAGGUUCCAAGAAAACAAACACCCUUGUAUCAAGAAUGUGGAAGUUAAAUCUGAUGGAGUUAUUGGUAGGUCCUUGAAAAGACAGAGGACUGCUAUAGCUAUUAAGUUACAAAGGGAUAACACGUUUAACUUAGUUGCGGCCAUGUGUACGUCAAACCCGUCACGGACAAGCUUGAAGAGUUCAGGAAAGCCUCUAUUGCUUACGUUGUAAUGCCGUUAGACAAUAACACGUUUCAGGUCGCAGCACCGUCAGGAAAUGAUGUAUGGAUCGUUCAGAAUCAGAUGAGAGACUGCACCAUCUGCACGUGUGGGGAUUUUCCACUUAUGUAAGGCUCAACUGCUAAUGGUAUGGUUAUGUGUAGUAUCUUGUGACUUUCGGGAGUAGAGGGUUAUUGGUUUCUUUUUUUUAAAAGAGAUAGUUGCUGUAACAGAAACAGAAAGUGUGUUGAUGUUUUUUGUAUGUGCAAACCAAUCCGGUUCAUUUGUAAACCGUUCGGAAAACAAAUCUAAACAUGAUCGACAAACUGAAUACCACUAAGAAGCUAAUGGUUA